GCGGGCUCAUGUUCGACCCGGAUAUCCACUGGGUGUACUGGCAGGCCGAGGUGAUAUGCGCCGAUGCCCAACAAGGGCACGCGCACGGCAAUUGCUUCUCGGGCCCGCUCAAAUUGGUCUUGAUCUGGGUCAUUGGAUUCACAAAAGCAUUCGCUUGCCUCUAUGAAUCCGCAUCUGGUUUAUGGGGAGACAUUGUCUCCAUGGAGUCUACAGAUUUCAUGGUAUGCAUAAGGCCUGGCAUCCUUGUUGGGAAUACACUUUUCUGGAUGCUUUCUGGUGGUAAAGUCAUUGUGUUUGAUCUUCAAACUCAGCUCCUUGAUAUGAUCGAGAAGCCUGUAGACAGCCAUAUUAACACCGACUCCUAUGGAUUAGUUCAGCCCUUACGCACACAUGAUAACAGACUUGGCCUCGCAUAUUUGUCAGAUCUUACCAUCCAAUUAUGGGAGAGGAAAUCAAACUGUAAUGGUGUUGUCACAUGGGUGUCUCUGUAGAAAAACAUCCAGUUGGAGGAGCACUUUCCAAAUAGAAUGUUUACUCACUUGAAAACGAUAAUCACACUGGGCUAUGAUGAAGACACAAAUGUGAUUGUUCUGUCUACGGUCGGUGGCGUCUUCAUGCUCCAACUUGAUUCCAUGAAGAUCAAGCGUGUUUACAAAGGAGCUGGAAUAUGUUAUGACAAUUUUCAUCCAUACAAGAAUUUCUAUACUGCAGGCAGGGGAGUUGGACGGAACUUGGUCAAUCUGGAAAGGUGAACACAUGAGAUAUACAAAUAUGUUAUCUUGGUUGAACAAGUGAGGCAAUGCAAGACCAACAUCCACAAGGAGACAAGAAGACAUGUCAAAAUAAAGUGUCCUGAUUUAGUUUUUCCCUCAAUGGGUCCAUGCUACAUUAAUGUGAUGUAUCGUUGA